rnacentral:lncRNA from 1 species
AUUUCUUUGUGCUUCUUUUUGUUCUUAGGAGUAUAAGCUUGCUGCAUGUUGGACCAGGCGUUGUGGUAUCGCAUCACUGAGCUGCAGGUAGAUAAACCCAAGGAGCUAAAAUCUUAUCUUUUUGGUUCUCUCCUAGAUUCAGCAGCAGAUGUCGCAUGGAAAAAAAUAUAGUGAAAAGAUAUCCGCAGGGGGAAUCAAAAGAUAAUACACAGCCAACAAGCAGUUUCCCAGAGAAAAUGUACAGCCAAAUUCCAGAGAGGACGGCAGCCAAUUACCUUGAACUUCAGGUGACAGGCACUUUCAAACCAAUGGAGAAGCAACGUAAAAAAGGACAGGCUUUGGAGCUGAGAAAGAGAUGACCACUUUACCACGUAUGACCUCUAUCUUUUGAACAGGCCGCCUGACCUGUGUGAACAAGGUCCUAACUACAGAAUACAGAACUAAGACCUAUUUUAUAUAGUUAAUUUAAAAUGAAGCUUAAAUAAUAUAUACCAACCUCUAGCACCAUGCUUUGCACACACGGUAAUCUCAAUAAAUGUAUUUAGGGUCCCUUUUCCUGAACGCA